AUUGAACGCUAGCGGGAUGCUUUACACAUGCAAGUCGAACGAGUGGCGGACGGGUGAGUAAUAUAUCGGAACGUGCCCAGUAGCGGGGGAUAAAUACUAGAAAGAGUGGCUAAUACCGCAUACUAAUGGAGCGGACGAUAUCGGAUUAGCUAGUUGGUGGGGUAAAGGCUCACAAAGGGAACGAUCCGUAGCUGGUUUGAGAGUACGACCAUCUACACUGUGACUGAGACACGGCCCAGACUCCUACGGUAGGCAGAAGUGGGGAAUUUUGGACCAUGGGGGAAACCCUGAUCCAGCCAUCCCGCGUGUAUGAGAAGGCCUUCGGGUUGUAAAGUACUUUUGGCAGAGAAGCGGUAUCUGAAGAAUAAGCACCGGCUAACUACGUGCCAGCAGCCGCGGUAAUAC
rnacentral:rRNA from 1 species